UAUUCUGCCCCACGGGGAAGGAUGAGAAGCUUCGACUAAGGUUCGACUCGAGCGAAGCGAGAGAACGUUGCCGCUGGCAAUGGCCCGAAG
rnacentral:sRNA from 1 species